GAUGAACGCUGGCGGCGUGCUUAACACAUGCAAGUCGAACGAGAAGUGAAGACGGAAACCUUCGGGCGGAAGGCUUUAUUUCGAGUGGCGGACGGGUGAGUAACGCGUGGGAAACCGGCCCCUUACGGGGGAUUAACGGUGGAAAAGAAUGGUUAUUACGCCUUAAAACAACGCCACGGAAGGUUCGGGGGAAAAACUCCGGUGGUAUGAGAUGGACCCGCGGUCGAUUAGCCAGUUGGCGGGGUAACGGCCCACCAAAGCGACGAUCGAUAGCCGAUCUGAGAGGAUGACCGGCCACAUUGGGACUGAGACACGGCCCAAACUCCUACGGGAGGCAGCAGUGGGGAAUAUUGCACAAUGGGGGAAACCCUGAUGCAGCGACGCCGCGUGAGUGAAGAAGUAUUUCGGUAUGUAAAGCUCUAUCAGCAGGGAAGAAAAUGACGGUACCUGAGUAAGAAGCCCCGGCUAACUACGUG
rnacentral:rRNA from 1 species